rnacentral:ncRNA from 2 species
UGACGCAUGACGGAGAGGAGCCCUACGCUCCUCGUGUAGUGAUGACGUGGGGAAGCUGGUGGAAUUCCAGCACGGUCGCGCCACUGUGAUCCCGCCGCCGCAACCGGCGACAGGGAGAGUCAGACAGCCGCUCAUCACGACGCCCAUGG